UACGUAGGGGGCAAGCGUUGUCCGGAUUUAUUGGGCGUAAAGAGCGUGUAGGCGGCCAGGUAGGUCGGUUGUGAAAACUCGAGGCUCAACCUCGAGAUGUCGACCGAAACCAUCUGGCUAGAGUCCGGAAGAGGAGAAUGGAAUUCCCGGUGUAGCGGUGAAAUGCGCAGAUAUCAGGAGGAACACCAGCGGCGAAGGCGGCGCUCUGGGCCGGUACUGACGCUGAGGAGCGAAAGCGUGGGGAUCAAACAGG
rnacentral:rRNA from 1 species